GGAUAUGAGGGUGAUCGCCAGGGCUGACUCGGCUGCUCUGGCUGGCCAGGUGGGUGUCCCCUCCCUCACAGUUCCCUGAGCGUGUCCCUCCCGAAGCUGCGCAUCCGGUCACAGAGGAUGACCUUCCCCGCUAGAGGAGGACUGGUCUUCGGUCAACGGACUCCGAGUAGCUGUGCUCCGCUGCUAGAACUUCCAAACAAGCUCUCAAGUUAGUGGACAAAUAAACACUGAGACUAACACUGAUAAAGGUACCCAG
ensembl:misc_RNA 7SK 7SK RNA